UGGUUGAUCCUGAUGUUAUAGGCGGAGGCGGAGGACGUGGGGGCGGCGGCGCGAGCAAGCCAGGCGAGAAGGCCGAAGGGGCGAUUGGGCGAAGACGCGAGGUGGUCAGGGGCGAUUUAGGGAGAGGGGAAACCACGAAAGAUAGGUCACGGGCACGGUCCGGUAGAGAGCGCACGGGCUCGACCAGAUCCGCCGCCACCCCUUCUGCGUGUGGCCAGGCCGUCCGCCGCCGCCGCCCCUUCCGGCCGACACCGCCUCUAGGAGAGGCGCCCGUGGCUCCCAGUGCUCGUCCGACCGUGCUCCUCCAGAUGGAGAAGAGGAGGCCGCCGCGGCCCCUGCGCUCGUUUGGCCUCCGCCUGUCUGCCGCUGCAAGGAAGAGAUAAGGCCACUGGCUGCGACCCUUGCGCUCGUCUGGCGCCUGCCCUCCGCCCGUCCGCCGCCACAAGGAGAGGCGGCUGCUGCCCCCCUGCGCUCGUCCGCCAGCCGCCACACCUCAAGUCCUCAAGCCGAAGCUCUCUUGCCGCUGCGCGUCCACCCUCCUCCGCCUGGAGCUUCAAGUCACUGCGCCACUGGAGAUGGGUGUGUUAAACAUCAGGAUGGACCAGAGGCUACUGCACUGUAGACAUUGCCACCGACGCCGACACCCACCCCUCCCGCCCGCCGACACUCACUGCUUUUUAUUGGACAGAAUCAUCCAUCAGAUGAGGGGAGAGUGCAUCCUCGCCACAAGUGCCCUUGUGUGUUCUGAAUGCGGCCUUCCUCUCCGACCUCCCAUUUUCAGGGCGAGCUCAGCUCUGCCCUGCCCUGACUGAAUGAAUUUGGAUGCAGUUUGGUUUGGUUUUAUUUGAUUUUGGCUUCAUGCUAUCCUGCCGUUGUUGCAGUGUCUCCCUCGGAAAAUUCCUAUUUGUAGUGCCUGCUGCCAUAAUGGUGAUGUCACCAGCUACCGUCACAGUCGUGAGCUCGAACACCUCAUCCAAGGCAUCACGGUGAAAUGCAAGGCUUGCAAACAAUACCUUCCAUUCUCCACCUUUGCUUCGCACAAGCUGGUCAACUUGUGUGAUUCCAUUCUUAUGAAGCUAAGGAAGUAGUCCACUAUCAGAAAUUAUCGCCAAAGAGUUUAGCUAAAUCUGUUCUUGAGGAAGGUGGCUGGUCAAACUUGAUGUGUGCAAAGGAGGAUGCUCAGAAGAAUGUUGAUGUUGCCAUUGUUUUUCUUGGCUCAAAGGUACUUAUUUGAUAGCGAUAUAUUUUUUUUAAUUUUUCACUGGUUUGAAAUUAUCUGCCUGUGCAAAUAUUGUUUGAAUUAGAUAUUUUUUUUAA